GACAGAGGGUGCAAACGUUGUUCGGAAUUACUGGGCGUAAAGCGAGUGUAGGCGGUGUGGUAAGUCGGAUGUGAAAGCCCCGGGCUCAACCCGGGAAGUGCAUUCGAUACUGCCACGCUAGAGUAUCGGAGAGGUUGGUGGAAUUCUCGGUGUAGGGGUGAAAUUCGUAGAUAUCGAGAGGAACACCGGUGGCGAAGGCGGCCAACUGGACGAAUACUGACGCUGAGACUCGAAAGCGUGGGGAGCAAACAGG
rnacentral:rRNA from 1 species